rnacentral:rRNA from 1 species
GAUGAACGCUGGCGGCGUGCCUAAUACAUGCAAGUCGAGCGAACAGACGAGGAGCUUGCUCCUCUGACGUUAGCGGCGGACGGGUGAGUAACACGUGGAUAACCUACCUAUAAGACUGGGAUAACUUCGGGAAACCGGAGCUAAUACCGGAUAAUAUAUUGAACCGCAUGGUUCAAUAGUGAAAGACGGUUUUGCUGUCACUUAUAGAUGGAUCCGCGCCGCAUUAGCUAGUUGGUAAGGUAACGGCUUACCAAGGCAACGAUGCGUAGCCGACCUGAGAGGGUGAUCGGCCACACUGAAACUGAGACACGGUCCAGACUCCUACGGGAGGCAGCAGUAGGGAAUCUUCCGCAAUGGGCGAAAGCCUGACGGAGCAACGCCGCGUGAGUGAUGAAGGUCUUCGGAUCGUAAACUCUGUUAUUAGGGAAGAACAAAUGUGUAAGUAACUAUGCACGUCUUGACGGUACCUAAUCAGAAAGCCACGGCUAACUACGUG